rnacentral:rRNA from 1 species
AAAAAACAUGUCCUGCUGUUAAUUUAUAGCAGGUCUAGCCUGCUCAAUGAUUAGAAUAUCUAGUUAAAUAGCCGCAGUAUUUUGACUGUGCAAAGGUAGCAUAAUCAAUUGUCUCUUAAUUAGAGGCUUGUAUGAAUGGUUUAAUGAAAAAUAAACUUUCUUUUUAAAAAUUGAUGAAUUUAAUUUUUAGGUUAAAAAGCUUAAAUGGUUUUGUGGGACGAGAAGACCCUAUAGAAAUUUACUAUUGGUGUAGUAUUUAUUGUUAUUUUAAUUUUAGAUUAAUGCUUAUUUCGAUAGUUUUGUUGGGGCGACAUAGAGAUUUUAAAAACUCUCUUUUUUUGUAAAUUAUAAAUACAUAUAUUAUUGAUCCUUUAUUAAGGAUAUUAAGAUUAAUUUACCUUAGGGAUAACAGCGUAAUUCCU